rnacentral:rRNA from 1 species
AAGACCUUGCGCUUUUGGAGCGGCCGAUGCCUGAUUAGCUUGUUGGUAAGGUAAAAGCUUACCAAGGCUUCGAUCAGUAGCUGGUCUGAGAGGACGGCCAGCCACACUGGGACUGAGACACGGCCCAGACUCCUACGGGAGGCAGCAGUGGGGAAUUUUGGACAAUGGGGGCAACCCUGAUCCAGCCAUGCCGCGUGAGUGAAGAAGGCCUUCGGGUCGUAAAGCUCUUUCAGCCGGAACGAAACGGUUACGGUUAAUACCCGUGAUUACUGACGGUACCGGAAGAAGAAGCACCGGCUAACUACGUGCCAGCAGCCGCGGUAAUACGUAGGGUGCGAGCGUUAAUCGGAAUUACUGGGCGUAAAGCGUGCGCAGGUGGUUUUGUAAGUCAGAUGUGAAAGCCCCGGGCUCAACCUGGGAACU